GACGCACGCUGGCGGCGUGCCUAAUACAUGCACGUCGGACGCAGUUGCGAACGGGUGAGUAACGCGUAGGUAACUGCCAGUUAGAGGGGGCUAACUAUUGGAAACGAUAGCUAAUACCGCAUAAUAGUAGAUGGACCUGCGUGUGAUUAGAUAGUCAGUCGGGUAAUGGCCAACCUAGGCAAAUGUACAUAGCAUAGCUGAUGUGGUGAUUGGCCACACUGGGACUGAGACACGGCCCAGACUCCGUCGGGAGGCAGCAGGAGGUAAUCUUCGGCAAUGGGGGGAACCCUUACCGAGCAACGCCGCGUGAUGGAAGAAGGAUUUCGGAUCGUAAAGCUCUGGUGUUAAGGAAGCGGUACUUAACCAGAAAGGGACGGCUAACUACGUGCCAGCAGCCGCGGUAAUAC
rnacentral:rRNA from 1 species